UCUGCAGGCCCUGGGCAGCCAUUCAAGGUUGGCACCCAAGACGGGGACAGAGCUGCAUUCUGGAAAGGUCUGUGGCCAGGAGUGUGAGAGGAUGGACUGACGUGGAGGCUGCCACAGGGAUGGAGGAGUCUUAGAACCUGCUCCACAUGAAGUCUGAGUAUUAUGUCGAGAUGCCAUCCAGGGGCUGAAUCAUGGGAAUCAGGGAAAGACAGACAGAUCCAUGAGGGCUUUCACCUGCUCGGCUGGGGAGCCCGUGCCGUGGCCCUGGCCGGCCUCCCUGCCGGUGUGCACCUCCUGCUUCCUCAUGGAGUCGGGGAUUACCUCCAGGAGCUGUGAAGAGACGGCCUGAACCUGCUGCCUGCAGUGCCAGCAGCCUGGGACAGGGGCCAAGAACAGUGCAGCCCGGACCUUCUUUGCCGUCCCAGCUGAGCCCACCGGCUGCCCCUGCGGGUCCUCACCUCUUCCUGUGCUGGGCUCCACCUCAGCCUUCCUUCCUGUCUGAUUUCAACAGCCAACAGCCUCGCAGACACAUCGAGGAGCCGCCGCCCCCAUUGCUCUGAGCACCCAGGAAGCUGCUGGAUGCUAGGAGGACACGAUGGCCCUCAAGAAGCCUACCUGAGGCUCCAGGCAAGCAGGGUGCAGACCCAGUGGCUGCCGCCUCAGCUGUGGGGAGCAGCAAAGGCGCCUGAAACCAGGCCGCUCACAGGAUGUUGGAAACCGCAGGG